CCAAGCUGGAUGAGUUAGUUGCCAAUUGUGUCUCCCUGGAGUUUGGAAGAGCCCAUUAACUUUCCAUUUUUUUUUUUUUUUUGUAAUAUUCUCAUUAUGUAUCAUUUCGUUUUUUUUUUUGUUAUCCCAUCCACACUCUCAACUGAGUAAAGAAAAUCUGUGCAUAGAGAUGUGUUAUCUGAUGAUGAUCAACUGAACUUGAUUAUUAUUUCUAAUGCAUUCAUCAUUUUCACUUCUUUCUCUUCUAAUUUGCAAGCAAGAGAAUGGUGGAUUCGAUUUUGAUUUUCGACUUGUUCAAGCCUUCUAAGAGUGAAAGUUUGUCUAAAAUGUUUAUUUUUUUCUGCCGAUGCCCGACUUGUUUACGACAUUAAUUCCAACCUCGAACAUCUUGGUGGAUGAUAUAUGCUGAAAUAUCAGUGAGUUCCGCUUAAAAUUGAUUAAUAUUAGAUAAUUAACCUGUAAUUUUAGUUCAUGAAUGAA